rnacentral:rRNA from 1 species
GACGAACGCUGGCGGCGUGCCUAACACAUGCAAGUCGAGCGGAGAAUGCAAGAUGUUUACAUUGAGUAUUCUUAGCGGCGGACGGGUGAGUAACACGUGGGUAACCUGCCUCAGAGUGGGGGAUAGCCUUUCGAAAGGAAGAUUAAUACCGCAUAAGCUUGUAGCAUCGCAUGGUGCAGCAAGAAAAGGAGCAAUCCGCUCUGAGAUGGACCCGCGGCGCAUUAGCUAGUUGGUGAGGUAACGGCUCACCAAGGCCACGAUGCGUAGCCGACCUGAGAGGGUGAUCGGCCACAUUGGAACUGAGACACGGUCCAGACUCCUACGGGAGGCAGCAGUGGGGAAUAUUGCACAAUGGACGAAAGUCUGAUGCAGCAACGCCGCGUGGAGGAUGACACAUUUCGGUGCGUAAACUCCUUUUAUAUAAGAAGAUAAUGACGGUAUUAUAUGAAUAAGCACCGGCUAACUCCGUGCCAGCAGCCGCGGUAAUACGGGGGGUGCAAGCGUUACUCGGAAUCACUGGGCGUAAAGAGCAUGUAGGCGGAUUAAUAAGUUUGAAGUGAAAUCCUAUAGCUUAACUAUAGAACUGCUUUGAAAACUGUUGAUCUAGAAUGUGGGAGAGGUAGAUGGAAUUUCUGGUGUAGGGGUAAAAUCCGUAGAGAUCAGAAGGAAUACCGAUUGCGAAGGCGAUUUACUGGAACACAAUUGACGCUGAGAUGCGAAAGCGUGGGGAGCAAACAGGAUUAGAUACCCUGGUAGUCCACGCCCUAAACGAUGUACACUAGUUGUUGUGAGACUAGAUCUUGCAGUAAUGCAGUUAACACAUUAAGUGUACCGCCUGGGGAGUACGGUCGCAAGAUUAAAACUCAAAGGAAUAGACGGGGACCCGCACAAGCGGUGGAGCAUGUGGUUUAAUUCGACGAUACACGAAGAACCUUACCUGGACUUGACAUAGUAAGAACUUUCUAGAGAUAGAUUGGUGUCUGCUUGCAGAAACUUAUAUACAGGUGCUGCACGGCUGUCGUCAGCUCGUGUCGUGAGAUGUUGGGUUAAGUCCCGCAACGAGCGCAACCCUCGUGUUUAGUUGCUAACAGUUCGGCUGAGAACUCUAAACAGACUGCCUACGCAAGUAGGAGGAAGGUGAGGACGACGUCAAGUCAUCAUGGCCCUUACGUCCAGGGCUACACACGUGCUACAAUGGGAUAUACAAAGAGCGGCAAUACGGUGACGUGGAGCAAAUCUUAUAAAAUAUCUCCCAGUUCGGAUUGUAGUCUGCAACUCGACUACAUGAAGUUGGAAUCGCUAGUAAUCGUAGAUCAGCUAUGCUACGGUGAAUACGUUCCCGGGUCUUGUACUCACCGCCCGUCACACCAUGGGAGUCGAACUCAUUCGAAGCGGGGAUGCUAAAGUAGCUACCUUCCACAGUGGAUUUGGCGACUGGGGUG